rnacentral:rRNA from 1 species
UACGAAGGGGGCUAGCGUUGCUCGGAAUCACUGGGCGUAAAGGGUGCGUAGGCGGGUCUUUAAGUCAGGGGUGAAAUCCUGGAGCUCAACUCCAGAACUGCCUUUGAUACUGAAGAUCUUGAGUUCGGGAGAGGUGAGUGGAACUGCGAGUGUAGAGGUGAAAUUCGUAGAUAUUCGCAAGAACACCAGUGGCGAAGGCGGCUCACUGGCCCGAUACUGACGCUGAGGCACGAAAGCGUGGGAGCAACAGGGA